GAGCGAGAGAGAGAGAGAGAGAGAGAGAGGGAGAGAAAGAGAGAGAGAGAGAGAGAGAGAGGGAGAGAAAGAGAGAGAGAGAGAGAGAAUACAUCCCAUACUGUGUACUCCAUCUUGCUUUUAGGACAAGAUCAGGACAGAAACAUCUUGGCACAAAUACCUUCAUUAAAUGGCAGUGAGCAUCACAUUAAACUCUAAUCUCUCUCUCUCUCACAUGUAUGAUGAUCUUAAUAUGGUUUAAUAUGGCAUGACAAGCUUCAGAGUGUUUGCGUAGCUACGGGCUCUCCAGCUGGAGAUUAGAGUGACAGGCCCAGACGCUCACAAGAUCUGCUGUAAAGAUACAUGAUUUGACUUCAGUACAUCAUGGCUCAAAGAUCCCCGAUCCCUGAGUGUGAAUCUGUGUAGACCUGUGGUGCGGGUGCAAGUGUGGAUCUGCUGCAGAACCUUUAAACACCCCUGGAGGCCUCGUGGUGGUCCUGUUCUCCUGAUAGAUGUAGUAUAGCAGUUGGACAACUGUCGGUUAUAAAUGCGCCAUGUGGUACCCUAACAAUGUCCAAUGAAGAUCGAUUAAAAGGACUUUUGUUUGGAGCUCCAUGUCUGGUGAGAGAUGGCUGGAGGUGCAGAUGGGACACUUUUUUUCACGUCAACUGGGGAAAUUCAUCGAUGAAUUUGACACACUACUCUCCACUAUCCCAGAUGAUGGAACUCCUCUUCUGGUCCUUGGUGAUUUCAACAUUCAUCUAGACAAGCCACAUGCAGCUGACUUUCUUGCUCUCCUUCCCACAUUUGACCUCAAGCAGUUCAUCACACCAGCAACCCACAAAGCCGAACAACCUCCUGGACACCAAGCAGUCUGGCUUCAAGAGCAACCACUCCACGGAGACUGCUCUGCUUUCCGUCACUGAAGCCUAACGACUAGCAAGAGCAACCUCUAGAUCAUCUGUCCUCAUCCUACUUGACCUCACUGCUGCUUUCGACACUGUGAACCAUCAGAUCCUUCUGUCAACUCUCUCCAGCCUGGACAUCACUGGAACGGUUCUGCGCUGGGUGGAAUCAUAUCUCUCUGACAGAUCCUUCAAGGUGUCAUGGAGGGGAGGUAUUUCUGAAACUCAGCAACUCACAACUGGCGUUCCACAGGGGUCAGUUCUGGGUCCACUCCUCUUUUCUAUCUACACUACGUCUCUAGGGCAGGUGAUUGAGUCUCAUGGCUUCUCAUAUCAUUGCUAUGCUGAUGACACCCAGCUCCAUUUGUCCUUCCAGCCUGACGAUCCAUCCGUCUCUGCACGCAUCUCUGCUUGCCUUUCGGACAUCUCGGUCUGGAUGAAGGAAAACCAUCUUAAACUUAACCUGGCAAAAUCUGAGCUUCUCGUCAUCCCAGCCUGUCCCUCAAUCAACCACAACCUCACUGUACAGCUUGGUUCACUCACACUCAUGCCAACCAGGACAGCCAGGAACCUGCAAGGUCCUGUAGGUUCAUCCUGUACAACAUCAAGAAAAUCCGACCCUACAUCACUGAACAGGCUACACAGAUUCUAGUCCAGGCUCUUGUUAUCUCUAAACUGGACUACUGCAACUCACUGCUUUCAGGCCUCCCAGCCAGCUCCAUCAAACCCCUUGAGAUGAUUCAGAAUGCUGCAGCGCGCCUCGUCUUCAAUCAGUCCAAGAGAACCCAUGUCACACCCCUCUUCAUCUCCCUCUACUGGCUUCCUGUACCCGCCCACAUCAAGUCUAAGGCCUUGAUGCUCACCUACAAGACCUUGUCAGGAACAGCACCCUCCUACCUCAACUCUCUCCUGAAGGCCUACGUUCCCUCUCGCAAUCUGCGAUCUAUUAGCGACCGACGUUUAGCAGUUCCAACUCAGCGUGGUGCAAGGUCCCUUUCAAGAACCUUCACACUAACUGUUCCGCAGUGGUGGAAUGCACUUCCAAUCUCAAUCCGGACCGCAGAAUCUCUCACCAUCUUCAAAAAACAGCUAAAGACCCACCUCUUCCGUGAACACCUAACCAACUCAUAAUAAUAAAUAAAUAAAUAAUAAUAAAAAAAUGCACUUACACCUCUACUCUGCUCUUUGCUUCUUCUGGAAUUCAAUUAAUAGAUCUUGUAUGGUAGCACUUCUUGUAUUGUUCUCUGCUUGAUAUCGCGUUGCUUGUAUCUUUCUCAUUUGUAAGUCGCUUUGGAUAAAAGCGUCUGCUAAGUGAAUAAAUGUAAUGUAAUGUAAUGCUCACUAUCCCUCCAUCUAUCUAUCCUCCUCUACCUGCCUCUUCACUAUCCCUCCAUCCAGCCUCUUCUACAUCAUUAAAGCUCUGCGUGUAGGCUGAUCAAUCGAUUUAUUUUACUUAACAUAUAUUUUUACACGGGUUUUAAUAUCAACCAAUCACAUUCGAGGAAGCCACCGUGACUUCCAGUAAUCCCGCCCACUGGUGAAGCGGUCAGCUGAAAACUUUUGACCCACAUGAGCUCAAUCCGGUGCAGCUGGAAAUCCUCUCAGUCUUUCUCUCAGUCUAUCAGUCCAUCUGUGCUUCCUUUGGACCCGCUGUGAUCCUGAGAACACUACCACUGCAGACAGCUUUGUGUCCCUGUUUCCUUCCUGUCUGUCUGCCUGCCUCAACCUGUCUCACUUUCUUAUUUGGUCUCUGGCUCUGGUUCCGUCUCUCUCACUCUGUGUCUGGAUGACGGGCGCAUAGGAAGCUCCAACUUCCUGAUUUCUGUUUGUGCUUCCUGGCUUCCAGACAUUCCUUCUCUAUCUCCAUCUCUCUGUCUCUCUCUCUGUCUCUCUCUCUCUCUGCCUGUCUGUCUCUCUAACUGUAAUUGGCUCUAAAAAAAUUCCUGCGUCAGUCCCGAGACACAAAGCAGAUUGGGACUUCAUGAUAAUUUUGGAUUCCAAUAACCUCGACAGCAUUCGAAAGAACACGUGAUUAGAUCUGGUUUCCUAAUUUAAUAGUAAUCUGCAAAGCAACCACAGCUGAUUCUAAAUUAAUAAAUAAAUCAGACAUCCUUUGACCUAUUUCCUCACUCAUGUCCUGUUAUAGCUGUGACCUCACAGGAAGUGACUAAAAUGGUGGCUAAUUGGUCAGUUAGACAGACGAUAUUAAAGCUGAUGAUACAGUUCAGGAAUUUCACUAGCUCACUGUCUAUAUACAAACAGAUAUAGAAAGUGUCAGAAAACGAUGAAUCAGCGGAAAUUGUAAAGUAUGCGUGUAAACAGCGGUGGACAAAUCAGAAAUAUAUUAGCUAGCCCACUAAAGUGCUGCCCAGUUUCAUGUUUUUUUGUGGUGUACAGCUGUAUUUACAUCAUUCAAGACAAUCAAAACAACGUACAUGGCACUUGUUACUAAACAACCUACUUAGUACAUACAUGGUAUUUGUUACUAAACAACCUACUUAGUUUUAAUCAAUCAGGGUCAUCAAACGUUUUAUUUAGAGCUGCUCAUACUGAGUUUUAUG